rnacentral:ncRNA from 2 species
UCCUCGCCAACGCUGCGUUUCUUUGCCCACAACAGACACUGAGCUCCGUCUCAGCUGGUCUACGCUUGCAAAUGAGAAAUUCGGAGUAAUCUUCAACCUCUCGCCUUCUCACACGGGGCGCGAGUCGCACCUUUGUGUGAGCAUCUGGCAGCUGCCUGUGAGGGCCUGGCGUGACUUCACGUCUGCACUCGGCAUCAGAAAUCUCAGGACUAGGGCCGCCUUCUACAGACUGCGGCCUGAAUGCCUAUGGGAGCCGGUGCGAAGAUUGUGUGCUGUGCGAAAGCAUGGUGAUACUUUAGUGCAAUACGCGGCGUACUGGGACUCAUGUCCGACAACUCCUGAAAAGGACAUGUCUGAAAAGGCAAACCAAUAGGACAUGAGGAAAGGUAUCAUUCAAUUCCGAUUACUCUGGCGAGGA